AAAAAGGCCCUUCUCAGGGCCAUCCUUGGACCCAGCAACUGUAUUG
rfam:Callithrix jacchus chromosome 5, whole genome shotgun sequence